rnacentral:rRNA from 1 species
UUAUGAGUACAUAUGAUACCUGAAGGCACCAGAUUCCUUCUGAUCUCAGAAAUAAAGCAGGCUGGGGCCUGGUUAGUACUGGAAGGGAGACUGCCAGGGAGUAUUAGAUGAUCAAAGA